rnacentral:lncRNA from 1 species
CUCUGCGCUCACUUCUUCCCGACCCUGCCGGACUCCAGCUUGCGCGCCCGCUGGCAGCCCAAGGACAGUCCCGCCGCCCCACGGCGCUGGAGACGCUGCGGGGUUCAGUGUCCCUUCCUUCCGGAUCCGCGUUUGAAUCCCCCUUCCUCGGAUCCCUUACGCAGCCCAGAGCCCGGCGAUCUGGCUUCUUCCGUGGGCGGCCACUCUGUGACCCGAGCGGCGGCGCUUUGGCCCGAGGGUGGGCGCGACUUAGGGACGGCCAGCGUCCAGCCGGCGUGAGCGCAGCCCUCCUCGCUGCAGCUGGGCACGUUGGGCGGCAGGAGAGGCUGCUGUGCUGCCUGGCUCUCCCUUUCUAAGCUCCCGGGUCUGCGAAAGUUUGGGGUGGGUUGUACUUUCUCUAGGUCGGUCUGUCCCACCUGGUACCCCACCCUACUUUCUGCCCGGCCCCUCACCCUUGUCGGCGCUAUGCUUUCUCUCCGGGCCCCCCACCUUGUAUAUUGCACGGGCUCCCUGGGUGGUUUUGCUCCCAGGGACACUGCCAUGCGUUCAGUCCUGGAGCCCGUGAAUCCAAGCCUGUGCUCUCGCUCCCGCCCGUGGAUUGCGUGAAAAUCAAUAGAGCACCACCCAGCUCGUGUUGGAAGGGACGCUCAGACAUCUCCGCCCACGGCAUUUUCCCUCUAGGAGAAGGGCGAUUCAGCUUCGCACCUGAGCUGUUUAAGGACUGGAUCUGACCCUUUUCCUGAAGAUUGCCGGUGGGGCGUGCCAGUCUCUCGCCCGACCUUGGAAGGUGGACAAGGAGUGAUUUCAGAGUCGUUUCCCGACCUGCUGAAAAUACCCGACCUAGGCGCACCCAAAACGUUCCCUACAGUUGCAGGGGGGUUCUGGUUUCCCAAACCGCGGGACUCACGAAUCUCAAGAACAGCUGGCAGAAAGGACUGUCUGCUUGGGGGAAGGGGAGAGACCAACGCGGAGAGCCGUGGAGCUGCUUGUGGCCCCAGCCUUGGGUCACCCAGGACGCCCUUUCCGGAGCCGAGUUAAGGUCGCGGACCCUGGUAGGUGGCGAGGCUCCUGGGCGCUGGGAUGCUAGAAGCGCGCAGCCCUCCCCGCCCCGCGCAGGCCGCCGCCUCUUCCUCUCCAAAGCGGACUCACAGUGCCCCCUGGCGUCCGCGCGGCCCCGUUUUAAGGCGUUGUCCCUGUCCCCAAACUCAUUCUAUUCACCGGAAGGAAGUGGACUUUGUGACUUUAUACCGAUUCCCCUUUUAAGUACAGACGUUUUUGUCACGUUUAUCUUUAUAUUCCAAUACUAACUCACAAGGAUCUUUGAUUUUUUUUAAAGAAAAUAUUUCAGCAGUUUGAAUGAUGCUGCUAAGAAACAGAAAUUAUCAGCAAAUAUUUUUUGGAAAGUUACUCUAUGCCAGGCAUCUAUUCACAGAUCUAUACACAUGUGGUAAAUAGUAAUAUGCCAUAUCUUACAGAAGAAGAAAUUGAGACCUCAAAACUAAUUCGCCCACGAUCUCACUGUUCCCGAUGGAGCAAGGGGUUCGAAUUGUGGGGGGAUAAAUUUAGUAUCAGCCUUCAGCCGUCCAACUACUCACCUUCGAAUCACAGUCCCCCGCCUGUGCUGUGCUGUGCAACAUGUGAGGGUAAAAAAUGCGCAGGUUGUAAGAGGUGAGGUUUUUUGUUUGUUUGUUUUUGUUUGUUUGUGGGUUUUUGUUUGGUUUUGGACUGGAAAACUUAAAGCUCAAGAGUUUUUUUGUCUUUUUUUUCUUUCUUUCUCUCUCUCUCUCUCUCUCUCUCUCUGUUUUUCUUUAACAGAGUCUCUCUUUGUCGCCCAGGCUGGAGUGCAGUGGCGUGAUCUCGGCUCACUGCAACCUUCGCCUCCUGGGUUCAAGUGAUUCACCUGCCUCAGCCACCUGAGUAGCUGGGACUACAGGCGCCUGCCACCACGCCCGGCUAAUUUUUGUAAUUUUAGUGGAAACGGGGUUUCGUCAUGUUAUCCAGGCUGGUCUGGAUCUCCUGACCUCAGGUGAUCCGCCCACCUCGGCCUCCCAAAGUGCUGGGAUAACAGGCAAGAACCACCGCGGCCGGCCUAAAGCUCAGGAGUUUUAUUGUGUUUUCUUUCCCAAGCUGUAUGAAAAGUCCAACAGCACUGUUCUGUCGUUCUUUGCCUUCUUAUAUGUGACCUUUUCCCCUCUGGGGGCUUAUAAAUAUUCAUCUUGUCUUAUAAAUCCUCAGUGAAGGCAAUGAGUAUUUUUAUUUCCGUUUUACCAUUAGGGAUACUGGUUGGGGGAAGAUGAAUGACUUGCCCAAGGUCAUAUAGUAAAUCAGGACACAGACAAGAUCAAGCUUGCCCUGUCAAAGUGCUUCCCUGACAGGCAGCAGUGAUCCUCCUUUAUUUAUGUGCAAAGUACUCUCCAAUUAGGAAAUUAAGCAUCCUGGUGCUCUCUUUGGAAGGGAAGCCUUUUAUAAAUUCAUCACUUGUUAAUCAGUCAUAAAUAAAACCUACUCACUUUUGACCUCUAGAGGAAACCUGCUAUCUGGAGAUUUCACUAAUCCGAGCUAUGGAGACUUUUUUUCCCCCAGGUUUCCCUUCUAUUUCUCUUGUACAUUUCUAUACUUACUCGAGUCCUCUUUGGGUGAACCAUUGACGCACUGUAUCUUUCCAUUGCUUGCCUUAGCAUAUUGAACCUCUUAAUAGAUUUCAGGCUACUAUGCUAAAAUGUGUCUAUCUCUGUGGAGACUAAAGGCUAAAGUUCAAAGUGACACUGGCAAGAAUGAUUGGCUAAUUUUAAGAUUUAGAACUGUAGCCUUUUAGAGCUAGAGGCCACUGGAGAUCAUACCCAGCAUCUAGAUCUGCAUGGAGGAAGCCAAGGCCCAGAGAGGUCAAGUUCCUUACCUAAAGUUACACAGCUAGUUUGUGACACAACUGGGACAAGAACCCAGAUCUGCUUCCUCACAUUGCUCUUUGCAAUGUACUGCAUUACCUCAUUUUUGCUGCAAGCCCUUGGCCACUGUCAAAAUCAUUCAUUUACUCAUCAAAUGUUUAUUAAGUAGGCACUUCAGUGCCAGGCACUGAAGCAAAAAAAGAAGAGUUUUCCUUCAUUAAUUGGAACAGGAGACUUCAGCAUUUUAAAUAUGUAGAGAAUAAACUGACAGCUUUUUAAAAUAUGUUAGCUCAUGAAUGGUAAAGUUUACAAAGAUAUAAAGCAGUGUUUUCUUCUAUCUGUAAUAUUAUCCAAAUUCUGUGAUCAUAAUAUUAGCCAACAUUUAAAAUGAAACUGUAUUUGAAAUCCAGACAAAAAUGUACUUUGAAAAUGCAAGUGGCUACUCUGUUCCUAGUCACAUCCUUAGAACACACAAUUGAUUCAGAAAACGUUGUCAACUACCUCUAAUUUUGUGUUACUUUUGAUUAUCAUUGCUUUGUUCGAGCUUUUUUCUGUAUAUAAAAAUUUUCCAAAUAUUUGUCAUGCUGAUUAUUAUUUAAUAUGUUUGGGGUCACACUUACUUUUGCAGAGGGGAUGUCUUGCCUAAUGAAAAUCAAUGGGAAAAUAGGUUAUGGAGAAAGUUCCUUUUUAGGCACCAUUUUAGAACUGUUGUGCAAUGGUAAUCACUAUGGCAAAAUGCCUGUUGAUCCUCUCCAUGUAAUUAAUUAAUGAUAAUUCUAUUCAGGUUUUCAACUCUAAAUAUCAGAAAACAGCUUUUCUACUUGCUCAGUAACUUGAUUUAAGGAUAUAGAGUGAAAAAUAAUUUGUUAUGGAAUUUUCUUGGUGCCGUUUAAGGUUUCAGACUAUUUUAGAAGAUAAAUGUUCACACCUAGUGCAUGUAAAAAUUAAAUUCCAUUAACAUCUAUUAAAUGUCAGUCCCCAGGGUGUCUAGCCUUGUAAAAGUCAAAGAUAUAUAAUAUUAAUCUUAAAAUGCAAAAAUGUCUUGCCUCUGCUUAAACCAUGAGCUAAAAAGCAUCUAGAAGGAGUGGAUGCCAUAGGGAGAAAA